rnacentral:rRNA from 1 species
ACCAAGGAGUCUAACAUGUGCGCGAGUCAUUGGGUUCGUCAGCGAAACCCAGAGGCGCAGUGAAAGUGAAGGCUUCCAUGAAGCGGAGGGAGGAUGGCUCCGGCCCCGUCCGGAGCUCGCACUCCCGGGGCGUCUCACCCUCACUGCGAGGAGAGACGCACCCAGAGCGUACACGUUGGGACCCGAAAGAUGGUGAACUAUGCCUGGCCAGGACGAAGUCAGGGGAAACCCUGAUGGAGGUCCGUAGCGAUUCUGACGUGCAAAUCGAUCGUCAGAGCUGGGUAUAGGGGCGAAAGACCAAUCGAACCAUCUAGUAGCUGGUUCCCUCCGAAGUUUCCCUCAGGAUAGCUGGUGCUCGGAGGAAAGAGUCUCAUGUGGUAAAGCGAAUGAUUAGAGGCCUUGGGGCCGAAACGACCUCAACCUAUUCUCAAACUUUAAAUGGGUGAGAUCUCCGGCUUGCUCAAAGUGAAGCCGGGGACGGAUCAGAGUGCCAAGUGGGCCAUUUUUGGUAAGCAGAACUGGCGCUGUGGGAUGAACCAAACGCGCGGUUAAGGCGCCCAAAUCGACGCUCAUCGGAAACCAUGAAAGGUGUUGGUUGCUUAAGACAGCAGGACGGUGGCCAUGGAAGUCGGAAUCCGCUAAGGAGUGUGUAACAACUCACCUGCCGAAGCAACUAGCCCUGAAAAUGGAUGGCGCUGAAGCGUCGUGCCUAUACCGCGCCGUCGGCGGCAGGAGGGCGCCCCCGCGAGGGGGUCCCGGCAAAGCCUCGACGAGUAGGAGGGUCGCGGCGGUGAGCGCAGAAGGGUCUGGGCGCGAGCCUGCCUGGAGCCGCCGCCGGUGCAGAUCUUGGUGGUAGUAGCAAAUACUCCAGCGAGGACCUGGAGGACUGACGCGGAGAAGGGUUUCGUGUGAACAGCCGUUGCACACGAGUCAGUCGAUCCUAAGCCCUAGGAGAAAUCCUACGCAGAUGGUUCGGUGUUAAUAUUUUUUAUGAAAAGCGUCAUACCGACCGUCGGGCGAAAGGGAAUCCGGUUCCUAUUCCGGAACCCGGCAGCGGAACCGUUCCAAUUCGGGCCCUCGCAAGAGGACUCGUCGGGGUAACCCAACAGGACCCGGAGACGCCGUCGGGAGAUCGGGGAAGAGUUUUCUUUUCUGCAUGAGCGUUCGAGUUCCCUGGAAUCCUCUAGCAGGGAGAUAGGGUUUGGAACGCGAAGAGCACCGCAGUUGCGGCGGUGUCCCGAUCUUCCCCUCGGACCUUGAAAAUCCGGGAGAGGGCCACGUGGAGCUUUCGCGCCGGCUCGUACCCAUAUCCGCAGCAGGUCUCCAA